CGCUCGCCAAUUUGCCGGGGCAGUCCUUUUUUGUACGUCCGGGUGCGGCUGCAUGUUUGUGAAAAUCAAAACCUUUACUAAAAUUUGACUUUACGCAUUUUGAUCUUAACAGAAUAAGGAUAUCUUCAGUGGAGCAGCUCUCAGAAAGAUCCGUCACUGAAGCAGCAUAUCAAGUAAUCACCAUUAACCAUCGACCAUGAAUGGCCAAUCAGGUCCUCAGCCUGAUGCCACCGAUAGUGGCCAAGACAAGAAGAAAAAGAGACAACGCCUGAAGAAGUUGCAGGCCGACAUCAAACAGCAAGUUGAGUUCUACUUCAGUGACGCCAACCUGCGUAAAGAUCGCUUCCUCAGACAGGAAAUCGACAAGUCUGAAGACAGAUAUGUUGACAUUGCCACCGUCGCAAACUUCAAUCGGAUGCAAAAUCUGACUCAGGACCAGGCACUCAUUGCUAGAGCACUUGGGAAAUCUGAAGCGCUAGUGGUUAGCGAAGAUAAAACCAGGAUACGUCGAACAAAUCCGAUUGAGGAACCCAAAUAUAACAUCGAUGAUGUCACCGUCUAUGUGGAAAAUCUUCCCCACAAUGUGGACCACGAUAUGCUCAGUAAAGCAUUCAGUGCCUGUGGUACCGUUGCAUACAUCAGUCUGCCCAGGUAUAAGGGGACUGGUGAUCCAAAGAAGUUUGCAUUCAUUGAGUUCUCGACUCCUGAAGGGGCAGCAAAAGCCUGCAAGCUCUUAAACAACCCCCCAAGGGAUAAGCCCGAUCCUGAUGGCCACUUCCCAACGACUCGGAAAGGGCGUCUGAUUCUACCAGAACAGGCAGCAGUCUCUAAGCAGCAAGGUAAUGGCAAGAAGUCUGAGAAGCAAGUUAAGCAGAAGGCAACCAAGAGAAAGAGGGAGGCAAGCAAGACUGAAGAGACGUCACAGGAUGCAGAGAGGGAACAGAUAAAUAAGAAGAAGGGCAGAGUUAAGGAUGACAAGGAGGCAUCUGCAUCAAAGAGAAAACGAGAUGUGAGUGAAGGAACAGAGGAAGAUGCUCAUGACAGAACACAGCUUGAGAAGAAGACUAAGAGGAAGUCUGAAGCAUCUCAGGAUAUGGUUACAAAGAAGCACGACCAGUUGCAGCUAAGAGACGAGGACAAGAACAAGGACAAAAAGGACUCCAGGAAAAGAAAACACUCUGGUGGCGACAGUGCCCAUGAGAGAUCAUCACACGGCAGUAAAAACCAUGAGGCCAGGUCACAUAAAGGUGAAAGGUCAGACCCAGGUUCCAAAGGUGACAGAUCAGAUCAUAGUGUCAAAGAUGAAAAGUCAGCCAAGGAUUCCUCCACGACCAAGAAGGCCUAUGGGUCAGAGACUCACAAGAGGAAACGGGAGAAUUCCAAUGGCAGUGUGGACAGUUUAAAGGUCAAGAGUUCAUUGCCAGGUCAUCACAGGGAUAACAAAGAUUAUGUGGAGGAUGGACAAGAUGCCAAGAGGAGGAGGACAGAGUCAGAGAUGAUGGAGGAGGAAGGCAACAAGAAGAGGAAGAAAAGAAGUCGAAGUCGGAGAAAUAAGAAAGAGGACGGAAAUGCUGCACCCAUGAUGCAACUCAGUGUCAUUCCGAAGAAGAAAUGGUUGGUGAUGAAGGAGGAAUAUCUUGCCCUGCAGAAGGCUAGCAGGCAACAGAUGAAGCAGACACUAAGGAAAGAAUGGGCCAAGGGCACACCAAGACAAGAGCUCCAACAGUGUGAACAGAAGGCAUCAAUUCAGGCACCUCCUGAAGUGAAAUCAACUGAGCCCGGGUUCCACGCCGGCGUAGUGCUGAAAAUCAGGAGUGAGAAGCCAUUUGAAUCUCGCAAGGAGCUCCGAGAGCAAUUGGAACAAAUUUCGCCUGUCGCCUACAUUGAGCUAAAUAGUGGGGAUACUGACGGCUUUGUACGGCUUCAGUCUGCAGAGGGGGCACAGGCAGUACUUGGAAAAGCCAGCAAACUUUCCAAUGACGGCGGCCCGGUGCAGUUGAACCUGUUGUCAGGACAAGACGAGCAGAAUUACUGGGAGAAAUUGAGGGCAGAUCGAAUAGCCAAGCUGACCACUAAGAAAAGGAAACCAAAGAAACGUGGCGUUGAGAGGAUCAAAGACAAGGCCAAAAGGGAUCACAUCAUGUUCGGUGGCGAUGAAUGAACGGACACAUGAUCUUUGGUAAAUGGUGUCAUGCCGCAAAAGUACUGGUAGUGUGAUGACUACAAACAUUAAAAAGAUGCCAACGUUCUCUUUGAAUUUGUUUGCCUUUUCUGCCGUUUGUUACGUUCUUCAAAGAGUGGGUUUUUUAGUGUGCAUCUUUGUAUGUUUUGUAUUAGAUAAAGCCAACCUCAAACCAAACCAGUUAAUUAAACAACCAUGUUCUGAUCAUGAAAUAAAAGUCUCCUAAUUUUAAGUACAAUUUUUCAUUUUAACAAUUUUCAAGUCAUCAUGGUCACUGGCAAGGUUUCUUACCCAGUUUCCAGACAUCAACUUUGUUCAUGUUUUUUUUUUGCCCUUAACCUUUUUUUUGUGUGUACUUCCUAAUGUUUACAUGAUAGUACAAGGACCAUAUAAGUUCAAACAAAGUCAGAUUACAAGUUUUAAAAGACGAACCAAAAAUUCAGCUGUGCAAACUAGUUUGAUCAUAUGCCUACUAAACAAUUCAUACCAAUAAUUGCUUUUCUACCGUACUCAUCGUCGGGUGCACCACAAAAGUAACAGAUGGUGAAUCCUUGCUGUCUGUAUCCUGGAAGUUUGCAUCUUCGCUGGGAGAAGGGAGUCAGCAGGCACCAGAUUUAGCCUCUUGAACCCCAGAGAAUUUGAAUUACAUGUAGUGGCAUGUUACAACUGCGUCUGGGGUUAUGGUUGUAUUUCUCCUUCCAGCAAAAGGAUGGACAGUCAGUAAGCUUGUUCUGUGAGUCUUAAUAUGCCAAAUCUUCCUUGCCUCAGGGAAUUUCAAAUCAGUGGUGUAUUUCACAUAUGUCUGCGUUAUUUGCUGUGUUCUCUCCUUUCAACAACAGGAUGGGCAGUCCGUAAUCUUGUGCUCUGAUCCUUCAUAUGCCACUCCUUCCAUGUGAAUUGGACCACUACCUUGUCCAAAGUAGGCACCAGAUUUGGCCUCAUUGAACCAUUGUCUGCGAAUGUGGCUGUAUUUUCUCUUCCCAACAACAGGAUGGGCAGUCCGUAAUCUUUUUCUCUGAUCCUUCAUAUGCCGAACCUUCCAUGUGAAUUGGACCACUACCUUGUCCAAAGUAGGCACCAGAUUUGGCCUCAUUAAACCAUUGUCUGUAUUUUCUCUUCCCAUCAAAAGGAUUGACAGUCUGCAACCUUCCUCUCUUCGUCUUGACAUGCCAAGCAUUGUCCUACGUUGGCACAGACCUGCCGGCUUUGGCACCAGGCAAUUUAUUUUGGUGGCAUAUAACACUUGCGUCUGUGAUUGUGACUGCAUUUUCUCUUCCCAGCUAAAAGGCAAGACAGUAACCUCUCUCUCCACGUCUUCAUAUGCCGAACCUUCCUUGCGAACGGAACCAUUUCCUUGUCCUAAGUAGGCACCGGACCUGCCAUCCAGGGCACCAGAUAAUUAUUCUGUUGGCAUGUAUUACCUGCAUUUGUGAUGAAUGGAGUGUUGUAAAGUGAUGUUCAUAGCAUUGUUUCCUUUCAACAAAGGAUGGACAUUCUUUUAUCUUACUCUCCGUGCCAUCGCAUGCCCAACCUUCCACAUUCAAAGUAGGCACCAGACCAGCCCUCUUAAGCCCAAGGGAGGUGGCAUAUUACAUUAUCUGUGAAAGUUGCUGUUUUUUCUCUUCCAUCAUAUAUAUUGACAAUCUGCAACCUAUCUCUCCUCGUUUUCAUAUGACAAGCCAACGGGACCACUUCCAUGUCCAAAGUAGGCUCCGAACCUGCCGUCUUGGGCACCAGAUAAUUUUCUUGGUGGCAUACAGCUGACGUCUGUGAUGGUUGGAGUAUUGUAAAGUGACGUUCGUGUAAAGUGAUGUUCACUGCAUCGUUUCCUUGCAACAAAAGGAUGGACAUUCGUUGAUCUUACUCUCCGUGCCAUCGCAUGCCUAACCUUCCAUGUUCAAAGUAGGCACCGGACUUGCCGUCUUGAACCCCAGGGGACUAAAAGUUGGUGGCAUUUUACACCUGUGUCUGUGAUGUUCUCUGUAUCCUCCCCUUCCCUCAGGAUGGAGAGUCAGUAACCUUGUUCUCUAAGCCUUCAUAUGUUAAGCCUUUUAUGUGAAUGGGCCACUCCCUUGUCCAGAUUAGGCCCCCCUUGCUCUUGAGACCCAGAGAAUUUCAUAUCAGUGGCAUGUUACAGUUGCAUCUGUGAUAUUUGGAAUAUUGUGUCCUCUUAACAAAAUGACAAACAGUCACAAAUCUUUUUCUCUAAUCCUUCAUAUGCCAAUCCUUCCAUGUGAACUGGACCACGUUCUUGUCCAAAAGACUGCCGUCUUUUCCUCUGGAAAGAGAAUCUUGUAUCAGUGGCAUAUACAUUGUAUAACACUUGCCUUUGUGAUGUUUUUAGAAUUGUUUCCUCCAAUCAGAACAAAGGACAGUCCGUAACCUUUCUGAGUGAGCCUUCAUGUGCCAAACCUUUCAUGUGCAUGGGAGCACUUCCUUGUCCCAAUUGAUAUUUGACGUAGGGAGGAUAUAUUCUGAAAUCUAUCUUGCUGAGCCGUCAAAUGCCAAACCUUGCAUGUGAAUGGGAUCACGUCUUUGUCCAAAGUAGGUAUCGGACUUGGCCUCUUGUGCUCCAGAGAAUUAAAAUAAGUGGGGUAUUACACCAGUGUCUAUGAUUGUGGCUAUAUUGGUUCUCCCCAGCAGAAGGAAAGGCAGUAAGUAACCUUUUAAGUGCAAGUAUUACACUUGCGUCUGUGAUUGUGGCUGUACUUUCUCCUCCCAACAAUAGGAUGGACAGUCGGUUAUCUUUCUCUGUGAGUGUUCAUAUGACAAACAUUCAUUGUGAAUUGGACCACUUGUCCAAAAUUGUCACCGGACCUGCCCUCUUGGUCCUCAAGUAGGUGGCAUGUUACACCUGUGUCUGUGAUUGUGGCUGUACUUUCUCCUCCCAGCAAUAGGAUGGACAGUCCGUUAUCUUUCUCUGUGAGUGCUCAUAUGCUAAACCCUUUGGUGAAUUGGAAUUCUUGGGCCUCCGAAAACGCAAGUAAGUGGCAUGUUACUCCUGUGUCUGUGGUUGUGGCUGCAUUUUCUCCUCCCAGCAAUAGGAUGGACAGUCCGUUAUCUUUCUCUGUGAGCGUUCAUAUUCCACACCUUCCAUGUGAAUUGGACCGCUUCCUUGUCAAAAGAAGUCACCAGACCUGCCCUCUUAAUUGGGCCUCCGAGAAAUCAAGUAGGUGGCGCACCUGCGUCUGUGAUUGUGGCUGUACUUUCUCCUCCCAACAGUAGGAUGGACAGUCGGUUAUCUUUCACUGUGAGUGUUCAUAUGCCAAACCUUCCAUGUGAAUUGGACCGCUUCCUAGUCCAAAGAAGUCACCAGACCUGCCCUCUUAAUUGGGCCUCCGAGAAAUCAAGUAGGUGGCGCACCUGCGUCUGUGAUUGUGGCUGUACUUUCUCCUCCCAACAAUAGGAUGGACAGUCAGUUAUCUUUCUCUGUGAGUGUUCAUAUGCCAAACCCUCAGUGUGAAUUGAAAUUCUUUCUUGUCCAAAGUAGGCAUCGGACCUGCCCUCUUGGGCCCUAGAGAAUUUGAAAUUAGUGGCAUAUUACACUUGUGUCUGUGAUGUUUGCUGUAUUGUUUCCUCCCAGUAAAAGGAAGGACAUUUGGUGACCUUGUUCUCUGAGCCUUAGUAUGCCAAACCUUCCACUUUAGCGUGACCACCUGUUCAAAGUAGGCACUGGACCUGCCCCAUCUUGGGCCCAGAAAUUUAUUUCAAAUCAGUGGCAUAAUACGCUUGUGUCUGUGAUGUUUGCUGUAUUGUUUCCUCCCAGCAAAAGGAAGGACAUUUGAUGACCUUGUUCUCUGAGCCUUAUAAGUAUGCCACACCUUCCAUGUGAAUUGGACCACUUCCUUGUCCAAAGUAGUCACCAGACUUGCCCUCUUGGGCCUCCGAGAACUCAAGUAGGUGGCAUGUUACACCUGUGUCUGUGGUUGAAGCUGUACUUUCUCCUCCCAACAGUAGGAUGGACAGUUCGUUAUUUUUCUCUGUGAGCGUUCAUAUGCCAAACCCUCAGUGUGAAUGGGAAUUCUUUCUUGUCCAAAGUAGACAUCGGACCUGCCCUCUCGGGCCCAGAAAUUUCAAAUCAGUGGCAUCUUUUGGGCCCAAGAGAAUGUGAGACAGUGGUAUACCACCCUCGCAUCUCUGCCAUACCAAUGUGUGUGGAUAGUACCUCAUGUGUCACCUUGGUAAAUCUCAACGCAGCCACUGGUGAGAUUAGAAUGACCAAUCAACUGAACAUCCUCUCUUUUCUUGCAUCUGUGAUGUCCAAUUUAUGGAACUGAAAGUAUCCUUGCUGUUGCAAGAUGUCUUUGAAUGACGACUGAUACUCUGAUUACCUUGGCAAUGUGUUCUUUCUCCUCCCAGUGUAAGGACAAACAGUCAAUCACCUUGUGCUCGGACCUCUCACAUGCUACACCGUCUAAGUGAACGGGGCCACUACCUUGACCAACAGACUCGGCCUUUUGAGUGACUAUGAAGCCGAGUUGGUGGCAAACUGCCCCUGCAUCGGUGGCAUUCCAGUUGUUGUCACAUUUAGUACCUCAGGUGUCAGAGGACAGACGGUCAAACACCUUACUGUCACGUGUUAAUGACCAGAGCUCUCACAUGUCAUACCUUCCAUGUGGACAUGGCCACUUCCUUGUCCUAAGUAGACACCAGACUUGACCUUUUGGGCCACAGAGAACCCGAGAUGGUGGCAUACGAUCCCUGCAUCCGUGGCAUUCCAGUCAUUGUCGCAUAUAAAGGUACCUCUGGUUGAACUGAAAAUAUCCUUAUUGUAAGAUACCUUUGAAUGACGACUGAUUACCUAGGCGAUGUGCUCCUGUGGAAAGAAUGUUUAAUUGGGAAAUUGUUUCUUCCCAGUGGGAGGACAAACAGUCAGUUACCUUCUGUUCGGACCUUUCACAUGCUACACCGUUCAAGUAAAAUGGAGCCACUAUCUUGAGCGAAGUGGGCAACAGACUCGUCCUUUUGAGCGACUGUGAACCCGAGUUGGUGGCAUACUGCCCCUGCAUCGGUGGCAUUCCAGUUGUUGUCACAUAUAGUACCUCAGGUGUCAAGGACAGACUGUCAAAUACCUUACUGUCACAUGCUAAUGACCAGAGCUCUCACAUGCCAUACCUUCCAUAUGGACAUGGCCACUUCCUUGUCCAAAGUAGGCUCCAGACUUGACGUUUUGGGUCACAGAGAACCCGAGAUGGUGGCAUACGAUCCCUGCAUCAGUCUCAUUCCAGUUAUUGUCACAUAUGGUACCUCUGGUGUCAAAGGACAGACAGUCAAACACCUUACUGUCACCUGCUAAUGACCAGAGCUCUCACAUGUCAUACCUUUCAUAUGGACAUGGCCACUUCCUUGUCCAAAGUAGGCUCCAGACUUGGCCUUUUGGGUCACAGAGAACCGGAGAUGGUGGCAUACGAUCCCUGCAUCAGUCUCAUUCCAGUUAUUGUCACAUAUGGAUCUGGUGUCAUCUUGAUAAAUUUCAACUCACAACUGGUGAGUCAAGAACCGCCACCCACCUGACCAUCCAAUCUUUUCUGGCAUAAGAUGUUCCAACUGUCUUAAUGUAUCCUUGCUGUUGUAUGAUGCCUUUGAAUGAUGACUGGGUUCUUUCGAAAAUGCUCACGAUACUGUUUUUGUUUCUCCUCGGAAUGUUGUUUCUCUCAAAUUUCUUUACCUGAUUUUUCUGUAUUAGUUUCCCAUGUUCUUUUUGUCAUUGGGGAGGUCUGUCUUUUGUUGCUUUUCAUGCUGUUUGGUCAGGCAGCGUUUGUUGAGGUAGCGACAGUAUCUUUAACUCCAAGAAUGUCUUGACCUUCAAUGGGGUGUACAAUUUCAGAUGGAGGUGUACUUGUUCAAAUUUGCCUGCAAAAGUCGAACCAUUUGAAUGAGCAAUGGAUUAUGAAAAUAUAAAUUUUUGAUUUGUCCAAACUUGGUGCAUUUUUGACGAGUCUGUUUUUAACUGCAUACAGGAACAUGUUCAUGUUAAUGAAAAGUGAUGUCUGGAAACUGGUGGAAAUAUAUUAAGAGUUUUCAAUAUCUAUUUAAGUUUUUGAGAAUUUUGUUUUUAAGGAUGCAUACUCCAUGCAUUUUUGCACAAAAUGGAACUUUUUUUGUUUAAAAAAACAACAACAACUUUAUUCCAGUUUUGGGCAUCUGCAACCCUCUGAAAACGGGCUUUCGAUCUGUGCACAAAUAACCCGCCCUUCGAGUGCUGAAUUAUGGUCUGGCAGCCAAUUAUUCAAAUUUUGUGAAGCAACAGUUCAAUAAUUAUAUGUCAGUGAUAUUUUUUUUUCACCGUCUCAUUCAAAAGGGAAUAACUUUGUAAUGAUAGGAAAAUAUCAACUGAAAAAAACCCACGUCUUUGAUUUGACAAAUUUCAUUAUAACUUCACAUUGAGUUAAUGUUACAGAAUUUGAAAGUUCAAGUGUCAUUGAGGAUUGUUUCCCUUUUUUAAAAGGGCUCUUGUGUGGUUGAAACUGAAGCAAACUGAAUAAAACUCUGAAUGUUGCUAAGCACACUGCAUUUUUGUUGUUGCUUUGCUGUUGGCAUUUUUAGUGAUUUUUUUCCCCAAAGUACAUGUAGCUGAGUUUGUCUGGUAAUGGCUAAAUGUGUUAUACAUCACUUUCCGUCCAAGAUACAUGUAUUUUAAAGUUUGGAAGGGGG
rnacentral:misc_RNA from 1 species